AUUGAACGCUGGCGGCAGGCCUAACACAUGCAAGUCGAACGGUAGCACAGAGAGCUUGCUCUCGGGUGACGAGUGGCGGACGGGUGAGUAAUGUCUGGGAAACUGCCCGAUGGAGGGGGAUAACUACUGGAAACGGUAGCUAAUACCGCAUAAUGUCGCAAGACCAAAGAAGGGGACCUUCGGGCCUCUUGCCAUCGGAUGUGCCCAGAUGGGAUUAGCUUGUUGGUGAGGUAAUGGCUCACCAAGGCGACGAUCCCUAGCUGGUCUGAGAGGAUGACCAGCCACACUGGAACUGAGACACGGUCCAGACUCCUACGGGAGGCAGCAGUGGGGAAUAUUGCACAAUGGGCGCAAGCCUGAUGCAGCCAUGCCGCGUGUGUGAAGAAGGCCUUCGGGUUGUAAAGCACUUUCAGCGGGGAGGAAGGCAAUGCGGUUAAUAACCGUGUUGAUUGACGUUACCCGCAGAAGAAGCACCGGCUAACUCCGUG
rnacentral:rRNA from 1 species